rnacentral:rRNA from 1 species
UACAGAGGCCCCAAGCGUUAGGCGGAAUCACUGGGCUUAAAGGGCGCGUAGGCGGGUUUCCAAGUCUGGGGUGAAAUCCUCCAGCUUAACUGGAGAAGUGCCGUGGAUACUGGAGACCUCGAGGAGGGUAGGGGCAUCUGGAACAGCCGGUGGAGCGGUGAAAUGCGUUGAUAUCGGCUGGAACUCCGAUGGCGAAAGCAAGGUGCUGGACCCUAUCUGACGCUGAGGCGCGAAAGCCAGGGGAGCGAACGGG